rnacentral:rRNA from 1 species
CACGCCCUAAACGAUGAUCUCUAGCUUUGAGGAGUAUCGACCCUCUUCGAGGCUAAGUUAACACGAUAAGAGAUCCGCCUGGGUAGUACGGCCGCAAGGUUGAAACUCAAAGGAAUAGACGGGGACUUGCACAAGCGGUGGAACAUGUGGUUUAAUUCGAUGCUAAACGAAGAACCUUACCAGGGUUAGAAAUCCAGACGAAGAUCCGCAGAAACGUGGAUCGCCGAAAGGCGGCUGGACAGGUGC